rnacentral:rRNA from 1 species
GCUAAGUCCGGGCAAGGAGCCGGGGUAAUAGGGGGUGUGCAAGCGUUAAUCGGAAUCACUGGGCGUAAAGAGCAUGUAGGAGGAUUAAUAAGUUUGAAGUGAAAUCCUAUAGCGUAAGUAUAGAACUGCUUUGAAAACUGUUAAUCUAGAAUGUGGGAGAGGUAGAUGGAAUUUCUGGUGUAGGGGUAAAAUCCGUAGAGAUCAGAAGGAAUACCGAUUGCGAAGGCGAUCUACUGGAACAUUAUUGACGCUGAGAUGCGAAAGCGUGGGGAGCAAACAGGAUUAGAUACCCUGGUAGUC